rnacentral:tRNA from 1 species
UCCGCGGUAGCUCAAUGGUAGAGCAAACGACUGUUAAUCGUUUGGUUGUAGGUUCGAGUCCUACCCGCGGAG